AUGAGCGGCACCAUUGUCAUCACCGUCGCCGUCGACAACUCUCUCAUCGGCAAGAGCUGCGCCAUCCAAUGGCCUGCCACCCGCAAGGGGCUGCAGACUGGCACACCAUCGGCUGAUGGGAUUGAGAGCAUGAUGUUCACGUACCGAUUCAUGGAGGACCGGCCGGGCACGUACCACACUUGUGAUGACCAAGACCCGACCACAAUGUUCACCAACGUGCAGGAAAGCAAAGCUGGGUCGGCCCAUUCAGACAAGGGGCAGACCAGAUACGGCUUUGCUCGCACCGUCGACCGAGAAGUCAUGGCGUACACCCCAGGAGGCAGGGGCCAUGGCGCCCUUGCAUGCCCUGAAGCACAACUCAUGGCCGGUAACUCUGUUAUCUACCUCAAUGACGAAGGCCCGGUCGAGCGGCUCCUUCGGUGGGUUGCUGGUAUAUGCGGGGGCAGGGACCAUGCCGUCUAUGCGUGCCCCGAAGCACAACUCAUGGCCGAUUGUCCUGUCAUUCACCUGAAUGACGGAAGGGCCGAUCGAGUGGCUCCUCCGCUGAUCCAUCGGCUGUUACGUGCCAUCGAUGAGAUGACCCGUUAA
rnacentral:rRNA from 1 species